ACAAAAAAAAAAUCCCGUAAUUAACUCAGACUCUAUAUCUAAUCUCAUCUAUAGAGGCAGCUAGUCAACCACCAUCGCGCCGCCCGCAAGACCUCGCCGCCGAGCCACCCAACACAUCCCAUCCCUACCCCCACCGACCACCACAGCACUGGGAUCCGGAUCUCCAUUCCCCUCUAUCACCCGGCGGCCUGCACGGACAUAGCGCCGGCAGCAAGAUCCCAUCAUCUUUGGCCUCCUGCUGGACGGUGGACGCCACUGGUGCAGAUUCAGAUUGGACUUCUUUUUUCCAAGUUAUUCUUCCUGGAAGCCCACAUGUUCUACUAGCGCAAAGGUGCAGAUUUCCAAUUCAUGUUUUUUUUUCGAAUUAUGCUUCCUGAAAGCCCACAUGUUCUACUAUCUCGAUACACUUAUUGUGGAAUAAAAGUAUAAUUUGAUGGACUGGGACAUCACCCUGAUUUUCUAAUUGCCCAUAUUAAAACUCUCAUAUUUUCAUGUCCAGUGAUGAUCAGAAGCUGCUCGAUAAAAUGCCCCUUUGGGUUUCAAGUUUCUUUAUUGUCAUUGAUUGCUAUUGACGAAAUGACAUUUGAGAAACAUAACCUAUGAUUAUCCUCCAUCCAGAUGGGAGUGGAAUUAGGCAAUGUAAAUUUUGAUAGGUCUCCAUCAGAUAAAAUGGGCAUAUUGCUUAGCUUUUAGGAGAACAACUGCAAACCAUACUGAGGUGGAGUCCAUCAAAUAUGCAUAUGAGAUUGAGAGGUAGCUGGAGUAGUGCCACGUAACAUGUUGAGGGCUAAAUGAAAUUUGUUGGCACAAGUGUACCUAGAAAUUCAUGGCAACGUCCAUAACCGACUACGUGUCCAAUGUUGAGGAGAGAGUAUCCUUAACUAACUCUUGGUUUUCUAUUGCUAGUUUUAUUUGGAUUCCAAGUGCGUGGAGUUAUAACUUGUAUGUGCGGCAGUACACCUUCAUUUGAGCACCUGACAGCGCAUCGCACACAUUCUUACAGAGAUAUUACGAUGUUUCACUGAUUUGAUAUAAUAGUUAUCAACUAGCAUUAUUGUCUUAUGCAAAAGUACAAAAUUUAUAUUACCUUUUGACUUUUGCCAAAUAAUUUUCUUGUAAUUAUCUUUCUGUUAUUGCAGGUGGAGUAACUAACAUACACACGAGUACUGAUGGACAGGGAGAACAAUUCUUGCUAUGGAUUACCAACAUUAUGGUGCUUUGGUGUUGGCUCUUGUGAUGAUUGGCGGAGGAAUCAAGAGUGUUUUUGGUUUCAUCGUAGACAUUCUUAUUCUAGCAUUCUGGAUUAGUUAUUAUGAAGUUCUCAAUGUUUUUGCCAUGAGGUGGCCAUAUGAUAUUGUUGCAAACGACUAGUCGUUGUUUGUGUCUCACUAAUGUAAACGUAAUUUUCAUUA